AUACUCUGUUAGGUGAGGCUCCUGUAUUAGAGAUAAGCUGCUGCCCAAAAAUGUCGAGAGACGCCAAUGGGUCAACAAGAAAGGUCGGAUGAAGGCCUUUUUUAACGUAGCUGGUUGUUAACCUAUGCUAUACAGUGCCAAAGCUCAACGAUGGAGA
rnacentral:sRNA from 1 species